rnacentral:lncRNA from 1 species
CGCAUACCCAGAAGGUAAUAAAACGAACGCUAACCAGUCCGGUUGUUUGCGGGUAUAGUCUACAAUAAUUUAAAUAAAACGGACAACAGGUCGUGGUAUGUAAUUUUUACGCCAUCGUCAUCGCAAAACACGUUUCCAUGUAUAAUGUAGACGUUCGCAUUACACAGUAUAGAGGCAAAAGACAUGUGUUUACGUUCCGCUUCAAUUGGACUCUAACUUGAAAGCCACCGAAAUAUUGAGUUGAAGAUUAUUAUGGUUUUGCUGGUCAUUGUGUUGAUAUUCUGGUAUGUCUGUCAUCAUAAUCAUGUCCAAGGCAACUAAGCGACCGUGGACAUUUAUAUUUACAAUCAUAGAGACAACAAUGCCAUGUUGCCAUGACCGUAGGAAAAAAAAGUGUUGAGAUUUGUAUGUUAGUAUAGACAGAGUGAAUUUUUGAGACGGAAUAGUAAAUACAGCUUAACCGCUGCAGUUGCAAAAAACCAUCUUAGAAGGCAGUCCAUCAUUUUUGAAGACAUCAAGAUAUUAAUUCAUAGUAAUUUUGAAAAAAAAUGGGCAAUCUAUGAAAAAACUUUCGAUGCCAACCAAUCCUAUUGCUUAAAAGAAUCAAAAGACUAUGAAAUCAUAAGACCUUUGAGUACUUAUAAGGUCAAAAAUGGCAAAAACUUACAUCAUACAUUUUUAAGAAAUACAGCCAAACUCACUGGAGAUGACCCGGGUAUGCCUAUAGAAUCGCCCCAAUCACAUUAUGGGAAGGACACAUAUGGAACAAAAAGUGAGCAUCCUAGCGGGACCUCUGCCUCUACUACCUCUUUGAGAAUAAAAGUGUGUGUUUUGUAUUUAUUUUAUUGUUUCUUUAAACAAGAGACACUCUAAAUUCGUGCAAUUUAGAAUUGAAAUAAUCUUAUAACUUAGAAACAGACAUGAUAAACGUACAAACGUUUAUUCAAGUUGUAAUUUGUGGACUUCAAAUAGUUCAAGAGUGUGGACUACACAUUAAAUUUAUCGACUUCGUGUUCUAAUGAAUUUAUUUAUUUAUUGGAAUUUUAAGGGAAACAUACAAGCAAUAAUGAAUAACAUUAAAAUGAAGCAAAUUAAGUAGUACAUGGCUCAAUUAAGUUUCCACAAUUAAUUAGCUCUUUAACAUAAAACUGAGAAUUUAAUAUAAUUAAGAUAUAGGAAAUAACCCGCCACCAAGAGCAGUAACAACCUAGUAAUGCAUACAAAUAUAAAAUAAGAGACAAUAAGAAUAACAGACACAAUGCUAUUACAUUAUGUUUUCAAUAAUCCCAUUGAUUGCAAGCUGUUUCUGUUACUCGUUUUCUAAACUGAUUGAAGGUUAAAGUAAAUAUAUCCAGAUGGGAAAAUGAAUCAUUAUAAGUUAGUUCCACUCGUUACUCCUGUCCACACUGACUGUAUCAAAUACGCGGUGUUGUUUCUGUUCGUCAGCUAGGGUGUUACGAUGCCUGGACGCACCAACACGUUACUCACUUAGUUCAGCAAUGUUACUAAUAAAUAGACACUAAUCGCUAUAAAAUACAAAAGAUUAUUUAAAAAAAGUGUCACAAUUAAUCAAGUGUAAAGAGUAAGUGGUAUUUAAAAACUACUCUGGAUACUUCGUAAAGCUAAGUACACGUAGGAAUAAUCACAAUUAUCAUUAAUGGAGACAUGUAUGCGUAUCAUUAAUAACGAAGUACUGAGAAAACAAAUUUACUUAUGAAAAUGUGAAAUUUUAUAAAGAUGUUUGGAUAUUUGUUAUGAGUAAACGCAGGAACCCCUAAACAAAUAUAAAAUUUGACAUGCAGAUACUAAUAAGUCAUUACCAAGCAAUUAAUCAUUGGGAAUUGAGUUUUAUUGAGUUGUAUAGCAGAAAAGACCUUUUCCGCGGACAGAGGAACGAUUACUACUUUCAACGAUAAUCAUUUUAACAUAAGCCAUUGUUGGUAUUUCGUGAAGUUUAAUACCCGAAUAGUAUUAACCUUUUAGAAUACUGUUUAUUCUUUAAACUAUAGGUUACUUUAGUAGUUUGCCACCAAAUACACAUUAUGGAUUAUAUUAGAACCAUAACUAUCAGCUGUAUUCAAAACUAUAUUAGUUUUAUUGAUAGUUUCAGUUUGAACAGAUGUUAUAAGUCCUUGCCUUUAAGUAAGUAUUUAUUACGUUAAUUAUAUUUGAAUAAAUAUAAUAAAUAUUUUAUCCAAAUAAGGCAAGGCUAAUGUCUUAAAAUAUGUGAAAUAGGUGUACUCUAAUAUAAGUCAAACGCAUAUAGAAAGGUCGAUUUCAAUAAAAAUAGCAAAAAAGGACAUAACUUAUUCUUAAUUAAAAUGCAUACUUUACCCAUUAAUGCAUAUUUACUUAAAAAUAUUCUUAUUACUCAGAAGCAAACAAAUACUCAUUGCCUCAUAUGUUUUUUUAAGCAUUAACAUAAUUUAUUUAGUACACCAUACUUACAUUCAAUGAUUUCUAAAAACUGAGCCAUCUUGCACCGUCGUUAGCAACACUUCAAAUAAUAUAUUAUAUUUUUCGUGUGGAUAUAUUCGAUUAAUAAUCACAUAUAAAACGCUUUAUAAUAUCUACUGGUACAUUUAACGCGAACUGAGUUUAUCGGCGCAUCGUACGUGAUGUUAUGUAAAGUCAGCCGACACUUUGACCUGUCCUUCGUGUUAUUUACCGAAGUUGGUUGUGAUAAAUUACCACAAAACUGGCGCAUAAUUAAUCACGAAUAUUGCAUUGCUGAUUCCGAACCAGCGAUUUCAGGUUUGUGAAGUGAUUUUGUUGGAAUUGAUUUUAAUAAGUGAUGCAGAAUGCACAAGUUCAUAACAAAUUUUGCACUCGGUUCUGUCCGUGCGAGUAUUUGACCAGAAUCCGUGUAAUUUUCCGACGAUAUUGAUAUAUUUUUAAAUAGAUGUUGCUCGCGAAUUCGUCUGCGUGAAAUGCCUUUUCUGCCACUAAAACCUAUAAAUCACUUUAGCGAUCAAUAGCGCCAAAAACACGAUGCCAGCGCCAUCUUUUUAAAAAAUUCAAUAGAAAUUUCAAAUAUUUCCCACGGGAGCAAACUAUAAGGAUUAAAUAUAGCCUAUACGUUAAUCUAGGACAUGUUCUAUGCGUGUGCCAAAUUCCACCCAAAUCCAUUUCGCGGUAUAUACGCGGGGGGCUACCAACUAUCCAUACAUCGCCUCAAUCUUUUAGAAACUUAAUAUAUUAUUAUAAUAUCAGUACAAUCGAUUCAUAUAAUGCAUUACUAAGAUAUAGGAAAUAACAUUGAAAGAAUAUUGUUUUCUUCGCAAAGCGACGUAUAACGUCUAGUGCCGUGGUGUCAAUGAAUUUACUGUAAAUAUCUCUAACUCAAUUAGCGGUGUGACAACGGGAUCUGUGCCAGGCAUAAAUUGUACUAAUCAGCUGACCGGCUACGUAUUUUUACCCAAAAUGGUUUGUCCAUUCCAGUUCAAAGCAUUCCGAGUUAUGAAUCGUUUCCCCUCAUUUGAUGUAAUGAUAAAAUCGUAGAAAUCGCUUCCACCGCGCCAGCCUUGACCGUUAGACAAAUAAAUGUUACGUGAGUAAAUCUAUUAUAUUCUAAUUAUUCCCAGAAUGUAUAUACGAAACUUCAAUAUUCCCAUUAAAAUCAUGUGUCCGUAUUGAUUAUGUUUAUAGAGUGAGUGUAAAACCCAACAGAUAUAAGAACGACAAACUGAUUAUAAAUGUAGUUGAAAACGUACAUUUUUACAAUUUUUUAAGACUGUUAAACUUUUAGUAAUCAUUUAAGUAUAAUAUAAAUUUUUAUGGUUUUAUAUUUUACAAUCAAUAUAAUAAUAUAAACCAAUAACAGAUAGACUAAGUACCUAUAACUGACGACGUAUUUAUACUUUCGAUCGGAUCGGAUCGACUCUGUUUCGCACCACAAGUCCCGCAUGUUUAGUGGAAAAAAAAGGUUUUCAGAUAAGGUACACAAAAUGUUCGACAUAAAAUUUUCUGAAUGGCUGAGUUUUUAACGCCCUUAUUAAUAUGAUAAUUAAUAGAUAAACUGUAGUAGGAAAUACUUUAAUUAUAAUUACUUCAAAUUCACUUGAAUGUAAGUGUUUUUACCGAAGUGCUAUCACUAGAAUGGCAUAUUUGCUAAUGAAAUUAUAGUACCUAACAGUUGGUGGAAACAGGAUGUAGAAUAUAGGCCGUGUUUAGACAAGUGUAAUUUGUGACGGUCUAAAAUACGUCAAGAGUUCAAUGUAUUGUGCGUAAGAGAACCAAAAUGCGAAACGUUGGAAAAAGGACAGAUGAGGCUUUCGUCCACUUGGUGAACACAAGCCUCAUAAUCUUAAUUCGUGAAUAUUCAGCGAGACAUCUUCGUCUAGCGCGGGAUUUCUUUCUAUCUGAUUUGAUUCUCACGGUUUAAUGCCAACCCCGGAACUAAGGGGGGACUAGCCGGGGCCCAUGCCCGGGCCGCGAAUUCAGAGGGCGAAAAUUUUUAACUUGGCAGACGAAUACAUAACUCAUCAUUAAUGCAACUUUGACUAUGGAGACACAGUACAUUCAAUACUAAAAUUAUUUCCCACGGGGCGCAAAAUGUUGAUGAAGAUGACAAAGGUAAAAAUAUAGGUGGUUGGGGGCGGUAUUUUCCAGAUUUUGGCUGUUUAAUGCUACUCGUAACCUGCAAUUAUUGAGUAAUAUAUCACAAAUAUAAGUAUUCUGAAAAUUUUAGAUACAUUCUCACUGAAUAGAUUCAUGUAUAUUUCAUAUUUUUUGUACUAACAUUAAAGCACGCCAUUUAAUGAACUUGGUCAAAUGUACACAUGUAAUGUAAAAAUAAUUCAGUGAAACGCAAUUAUUAACCGCUUGAUGCUAUCAACCUGUCGAACAUAAUUUCAUAUCAGAUAACAUUUAUUUGACGCACACUACACGGCAUUUAUUUACGUACCUACUGUUGCGUUUAAGACCUUUUUGAAUUCUAAUACAGAAUAUGGUAAUUAUUAAUGUUAUACUUCUAUAAACUUCUUUUUACUUCUCCAAACCUAUGUCAAGUGAAGUCAACAACGUAAUUGCAAGAUAUUUUUUUUAUUUGGCAAAUAACUUUUAUUACAUCAUCAGACCUGAAAAUAGAGGAAUUUUGUAUUUUUUUAUUACUUUAACAUAUAAAAGUGAUUUACUAUAUCUGCACUGUUUUAAAAAUAUACAGCUAUGACUAAGCCGGGUUUUAUUAUUGAAAAGAGUCUCUCUUAUGAAUAUAUUAGAUUAGAAUCUAUACGCCGUCGCAGUCUAUCUAUCCAUCAUAUCAUAAAUAAAAUGUCUAUAAUAUUUAUUAAACUUUGACUAUUCAUUAACACUUACCUUCGCUUAGCUUUCUACCUAAACUGUUUUCAUUUGACAAGAUUAUGUACUCGAUAUUCACAUUUAAAUCAUGUAUAGAGGAGACGGUAGACAGAAUGUAGAGACUGUAUUUUUUUUUUCAUUAAUACAUUCCAAAUUUAAAUUCAAUUCCCUAUUUUUUUAAUAAUAAAUCUGGCAACACCAGUACCAGAGUUAACUUAUUAACGCAAUUUCACCGUUUUAAUUAAUUUCAUGCCAUGUAAUUGUGAAAUUAAAAACCAUUAUUAAAAUAAAAAUUAAUGGAAUAUCUUGUAUACCUAUUGCUUGUUGCGCAAAACGCAAUAUUCGACUACAGUAUAAAUGAUUCAUGAAAGAAAAAUACCAUAAAACGUGUCGUUAAAUUACAACUUAAUUUGUUCAAGAGGUAAAAAAACACUCGUAAAAGCGUAGAAAUGUGGCAAACAAAUAUUUCUUUAUAAUGAAUAUAUUAUAAAUUCAUAAUAAUG